GGGCCCGCACAAGCAGCGGAGCAUGUUGUUUAAUUCGAAGCAACGCGAAGAACCUUACCAGGGCUUGACAUCCACUGAACCCGGCUGAAAGGCUGGGGUGCCGCAAGGAGCAGUGAGACAGGUGGUGCAUGGUUGUCGUCAGCUCGUGUCGUGAGAUGUUGGGUUAAGUCCCGCAACGAGCGCAACCCUUAUCGUCAGUUACCAGCACGUAAAGGUGGGGACUCUGUCGAGACAGCCGGGGUAACUCGGAGGAAGGUGGGGACGACGUCAAAUCAUCAUGCUCUUUAUGUCCUGGGCUACAAACGUGCUACAAUGGCUACAACAGAGGGAAGCAAGGGCGCAAGCCGGAGCAAAACCGAUAAAAGUAGUCUCAGUUCGGAUUGAGGGCUGCAACCCGCCCUCAUGAAGAUGGAGUUGCUAGUAAUCGCGAAUCAGCACGUCGCGGUGAAUACGUUCCCGGGCCUU
rnacentral:rRNA from 1 species